UUUUUUUUUUUUUUUUUUUUUUUUUUUUUUGGUCUUUUUAGGGCCACAACCAUGGCAUAUGGAAGUUCUGCCAGGGGCUGAAUCGAACAGUAGCCACUGGCCUAUGCCACAGCCACAGCAAUGUGGGGUCCGAGCCAAGUCUGCAACCUACACCACAGCUCACAGCAAUGGCAGAUCCUUAACGCACUGAGCAAGGCAAGGGAUCGAACUCACUUCCUCAUGGAUACUAGUACAGUUCAUUAUUUCUGAGCCAUGAUGGGAACUCCAUGUAAGAAGCUGAAAUUAAUCACUGAAUUCAUAAGGUUAAUGAUAAGGUUAGAAUCAUCUAAACAAAUGGAUUAGUCUUUGAUCUGAAUAGAGAAGCUUAAAGUAGCUAAGUUAAUCUUUUCUAAAAAGGAAAGACAGCAAAAAUUUUUAAAUACUGGAAAUGAUUCUGGAAAUCACUGCAACUAAUUUCCUGUAGUUAAUGUUUGUGUUUUUUCAUCCCACAGCUGUUAACCAUUUUUGGUUAUAAGUUUGCAAAAACAAAUCACAAAUAAAAAUCAUAAGCAACCAAAACUGCAUUAAAGUUUUUUGCUACAAUCCCAUUUUAUGGUACAUACAUAAUAUUAUCCACUUGAAAUCUAUUAAAGUUUGGAAACAAAUGAAUUCCUACAACUUACUGGGUUUAUUAAGGACUAUAGGGCGGAAAAAAAAAUCUCAGUGACCAACUGUCUGUAUUUCCUCCCAAAUACUUCAAUAAAAAGGAUAGGUGAACUCAUGAGACAAAUAUAAUACAUUGAGAAAAUCGGUUGAAGUCACAAAAACUAAAGCUUCUUUAAAAGAAAACCCAGUUUCUCUUUAACACUGAAUUACUUUUCUUUCCUUCAUAACACCAUCUUUUGGUAAAAGAACUGUCUUACCUUGGCCUUAAUUACUUCUCUUACAUGGUCUUUAACUUACUGCAACUGACUUAAUUCUCUUGAAUUUGUUUUCCUCAAAUUGUACUGUAUAAAUAAUACCAAACAGGAAUAGAUGGCGUGUAAAAAACAUUUUCAGAUAUUCUUCUAAAUGCUUUACUUGCAUUUAUUUAUUUAAUCCUAACAAGAGCCCUAGGAGGCAAUUACCUUUAUUUAUACCUGUUCUUUGGAGUGUGGAAAUUGGAAAACAAAGAUUCAGUAUUUUGUGGCAGACCUAGGAUCUGAUCCCAGUAGUCUAGUUCCAUGCGCUUAACCACAGUGACCCACUAAUUUUUCAAUCAGUGAUCAUCCUUAUAAAACAGUGUACAGGAGUUCCCGUCGUGGCGCAUUUUGAGUAAAUUUUUACAUGUGAUCCAGUUGUCUUAGCAUCAUUUUUUCAAAGCAGAUCAAGAUAUAAAAGAUCUCUGUCACUCCACUGCCCCUUCCCAGUUCAUACUCCCACUUUGUCCAGCAAACAUCUGUUUAUUCACUCACUCCACCAAGACGACAUACUUAUCCCAGAACCUCACCACCAGUAGUAUAACUCUUUCCCAAAAAGUUUCUCAGUAACUGUUAACCUGAAUAAAUAUAAUAGGAAUUCUGCUUUUUGGACCCACAUAUCCUACUCCCUGUCCCUUAACGAGAAAUAAUACAUUCCCAUUAAUUUAGCGAAGGGAAAUGCUGCUUAUAACUCUUUCCUAGGUCUAAAAUGCUAUUGCUUUGGACUCAGUCCCAGUCAGUGCCAAAAAAAACACCAAAAAUUAAAAAACAAAAUAAACCCACAAAAAACAAAUCAGCAACAAAAAAUAACAAACCACCAAAUGGAUUACAUAGACAACUUCUUUUUAACUAUAUAUAUUAUCUUGGCACUUUACUCUGUAAGGGUAGAGAGUACUGGCUGCUCCAUGGACCGCUGAAUGCUCCCUUACCUUCUCUGCCACAUGUGGCUGAUAGUGUGCUGGUCUAUUAAAAUUCUUCUCCUAUAUCACCUUAUUUGAUGAGGUUUCUGUGACGUCUCCUAGCUUUGUUAUCAUGUGGCUUAUCAAUUUGAAAUGUACUUUUAUCUCAUGUGGUUUAUGUAGAAGUUAACUGGGAGAAACACAAACCAACAGUCCAAUUAUCUGGACAGAAGAGAUCUGCAAAGUAUUGUUGUUGUCAUUUUAAAUAAGAGCUAUCCUCUCAAAAACAAUCAGAAAUAAGGUACAAUAUCAUUUGUAUAUGAUUCAUUUAUACCUAAAAAAACCCAAGGAAUCAAGUGAAAAUGGUGAUACAGUCAUUCAUACAACUAACAAAACAUAAGUAUCUAU
rnacentral:lncRNA from 1 species